CUGGACAAUGAGGGAAGGCAUCUCAUACAUAUCUAUUUCUGCCUGCCACAGCUGAAAUAACAUUUUAUGAAAUGAACUGCAAUAAAACCAUGUAGAAGAAAAUAUGUUGAUGGUCGAUGUCUGCAGGUACAGCAAAGGACCUCCUCAAAUCUUUACCGAAUAUGGGAUUCUUUUACGGUGAAGCACCAUCUUACAUAAGCACAGUUUUUGCCAAGGGAGUCCAAUUAAAAACUUGCCAAUGAUCUUGUGGGACACCUACACUUGGGGUCUUCCAGAGAAAGAACUGGGAAAUUUGGGCAGGAGCCGGGAAGUCAGCUGUAAGAGAAAAUGGAUGCUGUGGCUCUCAGCCGGCGGAGUGAGGACAGCGAUGGCAUAGGGGGAGGGCCAGAGUGGCCCCAUCCUGCUGUGACCAGCUGGAUCUCCUGGAAGUUCAGCGUGUUGAGUGGAUUCUUACAACAUUGUCCAACACUCAUCUUACAGCUGAGAAAACAGUGGUUCGGUGGAAUGAAAUGGUUUGUCUAAAA